rnacentral:lncRNA from 10 species
GCUCACACAAAGCCUGUUUGGUGAUCUCUUCACACGGACGUGCAUGAAAGUGCCUCAGCCAUCAAUGGGUGAAGAAAGAAAUCUUUCCUCCCCUAUAGUUUCUGGUACCCAUUGAAGGACAGCUGAGACACCCGACUUACUCUGGAGCUAGCAGAUGAAACCCUGGGACAACUGACAAAAGCCAGCAAAAGAUAAGGAUUCUUAUCAAGGAAGAAGUUGUACUCUGAAGUUUCCUUAUCUGCCUAAAAUCUGGACACACCAAAGAAGAAAACAAUCACCCCUGAUCCCUUCCCUGAGUUUUCAUUAACUCAACUCAUAUUGCAGGAAGAAAGACUGAAGUCCUUCAACGCACCUGAGAAGACUUUUGUCACAAACCAUUGUCUGCUUGGUGGGCUCAACAGACUUUGUCCCGGGCCAUUCUUUGGCAUCAUGAACAGGAUAACCAGUCACUCUGCUCUUCUGGAAGCUGCAGUCAAGGAAACUCAGGAUGUGACAAACUGGCAGAAGGGAAAUAAAUUCUUACCAGCUGGACUCUCAGCCUCUAUUUCUGCAGAAUCCAGUUGAGUGGAUGCUAAAAAUCAGUUUGUCUCUUUUUCCCCUCCAAAAUAUUGGUGUAAUGGGAUAAAAAGAUUUAGGUGACAAGUCUUGGGUGUAGUGUCUCUGGUGUACUUUUUGGUAUGAAUAUUCAUGUUGUUUGAUCCCUUUCCUUCCAGAAAUAGUCUUUGUUUUUGAUUGUUUGUUUGUUGUUCUGUCACAAAGAGGGGUACCAUGGGUAGAACAUAGGUCUCAUAUCUCUAUUAGCUGGUUGUUUUAGCAGGAUGUGCGGACUGGUAAGUUUUGUGGUUCUGAUCACAACAGCAUCUAUUUAGAUAAACUUUCCUGUAGGUCUCCCAAAUAAAAACUGUAUGAGGUUCCCCUCUCAUCUUGUUUCAUGUCUUUGAGAGCUUUAUUUAAGAUCUAGUAGCAACAGUCUCUCUUGGUCUCUGCCAUCUAGGAGGCAUGAUUUUUGGGUCAUAUCCAGUGAUCAGUUGGAAAAUGUUGGAAACCCCUGAGAUUUUAAGCAGUACACUUCUUGUUCCAAGCAUGUCAAGCUGGCGUAAGGGGCUUUUGUUGUCUCAAUCAUUUGUUGCCUGGUUAGUCUUGGGAAAGUACAAUCCCAGGAGGGCCUACCUAGAGUCAUGGAUUAAUGGGUCUGUGAAUGGCAGCUUUCUACAGAUUUGUGGAACACUGAAGGUACUGUACACAGAAACACCAUCCUAAACUGUCUGUGGCAACACGAGUCAUUUUCUAUCCUGGCCUAUACCUGGGAGUGAAUUUUUUUGGAUCAUGGAGACUGCCUCUUUCAUGUCCUCUCCAGAAAAGAAAAACACUUAUUUUAAACCUGAAAAAUUACUUCCUGGGAUUUCCUUAAAGAAGCUUAAUUGGACUGAGUUGCUAUUGGAAUAAGCACACCAUAAGAAAUUCUAGUCAUUAGUGGCCAAAAGAUGGAUUCUUUAAAUUAGAAAGACCCUGAAAUUUAAAAAAAAGUUUUCAGAGCUCCUCAUUCUAAACAGUUGCCUUGUGGGAAGAUCAGAUUAAAAGAAAGACACAUAAUAGUGUCAUAGGAAGCCUUAAAAAUUAUCUUGAUGAAAUUAAAAAACAAAAAUUUGACCUAAAGCAAAGUUAAAAUUAUUUGUAACCUCAAACUGCCUGAUUUGGACCCCUGUGAAAUUUACAGUGAUGGCUUCUUUACCUUGUAGUCUAGUAGUUAAAAUUCUAUGAUUUCACUCUAACAACCUUAGGUUUGAUGCUUGGUUAGAUAACCAGUCCCUUUUAGUUUGAUACUUGCGUGAAGCUUAACUUUGGGGGUACCCAUUUGUUAUCCAUUCUUUUCCCUUCUAUGGACAAGUGUUGAUUUUCUGCCUUCUUCCAUCUGUGGGGACAUCUGGGCUUUUGGACUUUUGUCUAUAGAUGGUCAGCUGAGAAGCUGAGAGCCUAGAGUAUAUGGAGACAGAUAUGGGUUGUACCCCAUUUGUAGCUAAUGAACCUUUCCUUUCUUUCAGCUGUCUUUGGCGUAGUUUUGGAUUUUGUGAGGUCUGCUUUGCACCUCUUUGGAGAUGACCUGUGUGUCCUUGGUUAAGUCAUAAUUUUGGUUAAGCUCUAUUCAUUCUGGUGAGUUACUUGGAGGGUACUUUUGGUUAAAAACAAAAACAAAAAAAGCUCAAAAGCCAAAAAUAUUGUCGAUUUGUCCUGGCUAAGAUUUGAUAAUAAGAGAUUUGAGGGAAGUUUUCUUUUUUUAAAGAGCUCUGUGGUCAGUAAGCGACUUAUUAAAAGCUGAUAUUCAAGAGUAUUUCUUUUUUAAAAUAACUCUCUGCUUUUUCUAUUUUGUAUUCUGUUUAUGGGAAGUUUUUUCAGUGAAUCAAAACCUCUUUUAAAAAGUUAUAUGCUUGCUGCUUCCAUUUACUUCCUUUCUGUGGGUAUGAUUUUUGCUAAAGAAAAAAUAAAACUUCAUUGACCUUUUACAAAGCUUAAAAAUCUCCCCAAAUUGCCUCUUAUGAGAAAAUUUCUCCCAUUUACUUUACUCCUCCUCCUGCAGUGCUUAUCUUUGAUAACACAUGAAAGAAUCUGGAAGGGACUUGUAAUGAUCCUGAGACCUCUUGAGGAACACAGAAGAAGGCACCACAAUCCUCAUUUUGGGGUCUUCUGUCUUCCUUGUGCAGUCUCAAGAGCAUGAACAGGUUACUCUUAGGUCUAAAGCUCUGCUGUCUUUUACACGGAACUCUUUUAUAUCUUUGGCUUUUAGAAACACACAUGUGCACCUGUGUAUGUCAUAUGUUGUGUCUGCAUGUACAUAUAUGUUUGUACAUGUGUUUGUAUAUUGGCUACGUGGUAACACACUAACAUAAAUAAAUGAGUACUCAUAAAUUAACUAGCCCGCUUUUCAAGUUCAUGUGGCUUUAGUAGUUUUUGGUAAAUAAAGCUAAUUUUAAAAUUGUUGGCAAAAUAGAAAUGUCUUCAGAGUUUUAGAUAUUUUUGUCUGGGUCUACUCAUCAGACUAAUUUAUACUAUUUAUGAUAGAUGUUUUCAGGUCACAAAGCUGUUGCUUCUGUGAUAUUUUUGUGCUUGUUUGAUCUGUCUAUGAGUUUAUAUUUUUGGUUUUGAGGCUUUAAAUUCUAAGGUCUAGACAAUUGGCCAUGGUCAGGCACAGGGACACAUGUGUGUCCACAGUGCCUAUGCCUCAUCCUCCCUGGCCCAUCUAUGCUUCCUGGCCAUGCUGGGAGGGGUCAGAUCCUCCAGGCAUUGUCUUCACAGGUCUGUCUUUUGUCCUGGGCUCUGCAUCUGAUACAUACCAAUUAAAAUUGCUUUCUUUCUAUAUUUCUUAUUGUAAGUUAGGUUUACUAUGUAAUUUAAACAAGUAGAUAUAAGAGAAACACUUCUGUAUGCAAAGUAUAUAAAGAAAAUAGGAUGUGUUUUUGGUAAGGAAGGUUAUAAAGAAGGUGUGAGAAUAUGACUUUUGUUAAAGAAAAAGUAGUUUUGUUUAGUUUAAAGAUUUUUAAAUGUUGUUUUAAAUUGAAGAAAUAAAAAAUGAGAAUUGAUAAAACUAAAUGGAAAAAGAAUGUUGGGAAAAGAAAGAAUAGGAAAAAAUUUAAGAGGUUAUAAAAGGUUUAUCACAAUCUUAUGUGGCCAAAGCUGAAUGAGAUUAGAUAAAUCUAUUUAUAAGGUUUUAUUAAAAUUAGGUUUCAUAUUAAUAAUACAUUGAUACAAGGGUAAAGUUGAGAGGGAGGUAAAGAGAGAGGAAGAAAGUCUCAUAUUGUCUUUAUUAGGGCUUUUGACUAUUUGGAAAACUGAGUCUCCUUUCUCUCUAAGAGUAAAGGUUUUUGCUUUUUGAAAUUUUUGAAUUAUUACUUUGGCUAAAUUAAUUAAUCUUUUAUAGUGACCUGUGAUCCUAUUUUGAUUGAGUGUUUUAAGCGUCCCUUAUUUUGAUAUUAAGUGUUUUAAACCUUUGAUAUUUGACAAACUUCCCAAAAUCAAAUAACAAAUUUUAAAUCUAUCUUUUUGACCUUAAACAGAUUUUUGGAUGUUAGGACCCUUGGAAGUCCAAAUGAGAACCCUGAAAGUCUAAGGGAGACAUAUUAGGCUUCUUUCAUAUGUUAAAAUUAUACUGUCAUUAUUGUCAAAUAAGAAAUGGUGUUUAUUUGUAUGGAUGUUAUUAAUAUGUGUUCCAAAAUUGUAUGGAAUUCCUAGAAAUCUGAUAUGUCUUGGUAUAUUAAGUAAAUUGCCUUAUCCUGAUGUUUUUUCUUCUAAAAGCUCUUUGCGAAUUCUAACGUGUUUUACCUUCAAGAAAAUUCAUGGAAAGAUCCAUGAGAAGUACUCUUAAAUACAGGUUUCAAAUAACACUGGAUCAUAUAAUUGGGCUAAAUAAAAACUUCCAGAACUCUAAUAAAAUAAGCCUAAUUGAUUCAUGAAGAUUGCUAACUCAACAUUAAGAAGAACAAGAAUUAAUUACACAGGACUGAACUGAUGGCAGUCAUAAAUGAUUUUUAAUGACUUUUUGUUUGAAACAUUGCGGAUUCUUUUUAUGUUUUCUUUUCCAGAGUCAAGAUUUUUUUUUCUUUUGAGUUAUGUGUAGCUUUCAGCAAUUGGGUAAAGUAUACUUUUGUGAGCAAAAUUGAAACAUUUACCUUUCCCUCUACCUGAUUUCUCCAGAAUUUGGAAACUGUUUAUGAGUAUUCUUAUCUUAUGGCAAUAUAAUUAUUUGCAUAAGUUAGAUAAGAAUAUGUUUUAUUUUGCAACAGGACACAAUCAGAAAUGCUGCUUAUUUUAUCAAGGUUUUGACUGGAAUGACAUAUUUUCAGAUAUGUCCAGACUGCUUUGAAGAAUUGAGGUUGACUUUAUUGAACUGAUGAAAAGCCCUUUGGAAAGGCUGACCUGGUACUUUAUCUACAUGGUUCCUUUUCAAUGUUUCUGACCUUGUGAUAUUAAUUAACGAAGAACAUAUUGCGUGCCAGGAAAUACUCUACAUGUUGGAGACAUAUCAAAAAGUCCAUAUAUUCUGGGAAUGCUUUACUAGCACUAUUGCAUUUUAUUAUACAAUCACCUUUGUUAGGAGCUGAAUUGUGUCUCCCUAACCCAUUAAUAUGCUGAAGUCCUAACCCCUACUACCUCAGAAUGUCACUAUACUUGAAAAUAGGAUUUUUGAGGGGGUGAUUAUGGUUAAAUGAGGUCAUAGGAACACCAAUCCAAUAUGACUGGUGUUGUUAUAAGGAGAGGAGAGAUGAGGCCACCGAACACGCAGAGGGAAGACCAUGUAAAGAAGACUCAGAGAGAAGACAGCUGUCUACCAGCUGGGAGGGAGGCCUCAGGAGGAACUAACCUGUGAACACUUUGGUCUUGGCCUUCUAUCUUUCAGAACUGUGAGAAAAUAAAUUUGUUGUUUACACCACCCACU